rnacentral:lncRNA from 1 species
UCAGUGCAAGUAUACUUCAUGGUAAAAGAUUGUAGUUGAAUAUAUUCAAUGAAUAGUUAUGUUGCUUUGAAAAAUGUGAGUAUUCGCUGGGACCUUACUAUUGACUUUCAAAAUAGUACCAUUUAUAAAAACUGUUUUAAAACAAUUAUUUUAAUUCAUAUGGUUAUAUUAUUAAAAUGAUAUACCUGAUUUCUAUGUCUCAUUAAAAACCUCUGAAAAAUAUUAUUUUGGGAGUGGUUUGUUAGAUUUUGUAAGUUAAAUAGUUCACUGAGUGUUAUUAUUGCAUCCAUUCGACCUGAAUCAAAAUGAUGCUUCCUGUGGUUAAAGACUAUGUUUUAUACCUUUCAAUAGCUAUUUUCAAGUAUUAUUGAAAUACAAGAAAACAUAAAUGUUUUCCUAAUUGCUGGAGUUGUUUGUAUAUGUAUAGGCUGCAACAUUUAACUAUGGAACUAUUACUAAAUCUACACCAUGUCUAGUUUUGUUCAAUUGUCGCUAGUAGAAUAUAUUUCUCUUUAAUUAUAUAAACUGUAUGAAUAACCUCCCAGUUUAGAGCAACACUAGCAUUUU